GACAGAGGGUGCGAGCGUUGUUCGGAAUUACUGGGCGUAAAGCGCGCGCAGGCGGAUCCUGCAAGUCGGAAGUGAAAUGUGGCUGCCUCAACGGCCACGCUGCUUCCGAUACUGCGGAUCUGGGGACCGGUAGAGGCUGGUGGAAUUGCAGGUGUAGCGGUGGAAUGCGUAGAGAUCUGCAAGAACACCCGUGGCGAAGGCGGCCAGCUGGGCCGGAUCCGACGCUGAGGCGCGAAAGCGUGGGGAGCAAACAGG
rnacentral:rRNA from 1 species